GACGAACGCUGGCGGCGUGCUUAACACAUGCAAGUCGAACGAUGAGCCUCGAAAUGAUUUCUUCGGAAAGAUUUUUGAGAGGAUUAGUGGCGAACGGGUGAGUAACGCGUGAGCAACCUGCCUUAGACAAGGGGAUAGCCUCGGGAAACCGUGAUUAAUACCCUAUGAGACUCCACUUACGAGUGUAAGAGAAGUUAAAGCUAUUGCGGUCUAAGAUGGGCUCGCGUCUGAUUAGCUAGUUGGUGAGAUAAAAGCCCACCAAGGCGACGAUCAGUAACCGGCUUGAGAGAGUGAACGGUCACAUUGGAACUGAGACACGGUCCAAACUCCUACGGGAGGCAGCAGUGGGGAAUAUUGCACAAUGGGGGCAACCCUGAUGCAGCGACGCCGCGUGAGCGAUGAAGGAAUUCGUUUCGUAAAGCUCUGUCCUUGGAGAAGAUAAUGACGGUAACCAAGGAGGAAGCACCGGCUAAAUACGUG
rnacentral:rRNA from 1 species